UAACGCUGGCGGCGUGCCUAAUACAUGCAAGUCGAACGCGCGGAUCAGGAGCUUGCUCCUGUGACGCGAGUGGCGGACGGGUGAGUAACACGUAGGCAACCUGCCCAUCAGACCGGGAUAACCACGGGAAACCGUGGCUAAUACCGGAUAACCCUUUCCCACACAAGUGGGGAAGUUGAAAGGCGGCUUCGGCUGUCACUGAUGGAUGGGCCUGCGGCGCAUUAGCUAGUUGGUGGGGUAACGGCCCACCAAGGCGACGAUGCGUAGCCGACCUGAGAGGGUGAUCGGCCACACUGGGACUGAGACACGGCCCAGACUCCUACGGGAGGCAGCAGUAGGGAAUCUUCCGCAAUGGACGAAAGUCUGACGGAGCAACGCCGCGUGAGUGAAGAAGGGUUUCGGCUCGUAAAACUCUGUUGUCAGGGAAGAACGCCGACGGGAGUAACUGCCCGUCGGGUGACGGUACCUGACCAGAAAGCCACGGCUAACUACGUGCCAGCAGCCGCGGUAAUACGUAGGUGGCAAGCGUUAUCCGGAAUUAUUGGGCGUAAAGCGCGCGUAGGCGGUUCGUUAAGUCUGAUGUGAAAGCCCCCGGCUCAACCGGGGAGGGUCAUUGGAAACUGGCGGACUUGAGUGCAGAAGAGGAGAGUGGAAUUCCAUGUGUAGCGGUGAAAUGCGCAGAGAUAUGGAGGAACACCAGUGGCGAAGGCGGCUCUCUGGUCUGCAACUGACGCUGAGGUGCGAAAGCGUGGGGAUCAAACAGGAUUANAUACCCUGGUAGUCCACGCCGUAA
rnacentral:rRNA from 1 species